UACGUAGGGGGCAAGCGUUGUCCGGAAUUAUUGGGCGUAAAGCGCGCGCAGGCGGUUCUUUUAAGUCUGGUGUCUAAGUGCGGGGCUCAACCCCGUGAUGCACUGGAAACUGGGGAACUUGAGUGCAGAAGAGGAGAGCGGAAUUCCACGUGUAGCGGUGAAAUGCGUAGAGAUGUGGAGGAACACCAGUGGCGAAGGCGGCUCUCU
rnacentral:rRNA from 1 species